UACGUAGGGACCAAGCGUUGUUCGGAUUUAUUGGGCGUAAAGAGCGUGUAGGCGGCUUGGUAGGUCCGCUGUGAAAACUCGAGGCUCAACCUCGAGAUGUCGGCGGAAACCACUUGGCUAGAGUCCGGAAGAGGAGAGUGGAAGUCCUGGUGUAGCGGUGAAAUGCGCAGAUAUCAGGAAGAACACCUAUGGCGAAGGCAGCUCUCUGGGACGGUACUGACGCUGAGACGCGAAAGCGUGGGGAGCGAACAGG
rnacentral:rRNA from 1 species